CCAGUUACAAAUUAGUUUUUACUGUUACCAUGGUACAGUAAACAUAUCUGGCAAUAUUGUAACAUUCAUAACUAGUUGGCUUGUAGUCACAUAACAAAUACAACUGGUUUGCUACUAUUCCUUAAUUUUGGUGGUUCCUCAUCCAUCGCCUCCAUCACACUUGAUAUCAACUUGACAUGAAAUCCAUAGCAAUCAGUGAUAAUUGAAUCUGUUUAUGAUAAAGCAAUUACAUUUCUUUGCAAUGAAAAGUUCCUACUACUUUCAACCUUUACUACUUCUAGAUUAUUAUGUUACCAGCUACCUCUCUGUAGCUCACAUCUCCUAUUUGGAAUAUUAUUAGUACCACAAUAAAUAAUAUUAAUAGUAACCCUACUAUUAAUGUAUGUUUUAAUUAAUGUCAUCUAAUACAUAGUAUGUCAGUCAUUCUCAGCGAUAUCAGAAAAGAAUAGCUCCAGCUGAUGAAAUGGGUUGCAUUACUAGAUGGUGUAUGUUAACAAUUCAUUACAUUGCUUUUGCAGAACAUUGUUCUGGAGUGCUUAGGAGUGCUUAGCCAGACUGAGGGAAAGACUGCAGUGUGCCCUCAACAACAACCCUCCUGAUCUUGAUUAUUUGGAAUACAUAGUGACCCAAGAGAGGACCUUCAUAAAUGCAAUGGAGAAUGUAGCUCUGCCUAAUGAUAUCUGUGAAGCCAUCCAUCAACUGAGCAGUUUGUUAGACCUGCAGAAUAAACCUCCCCCCUCAAUAUCUGUGGUGAGGAAUAUAGGUCCCCGUGGACGUUUUAGACUACAGGUCACAGAGGACCACCUCCAAAGUCUUCUUCAUCUAGGUCUACCUGCCACAUGUGUAGCAGACAUUCUUGGAGUCUCAAGAAGAACCAUAUACAGGAGGAUGUAGGAGUACAACAUGUCAGUUAGGAGCCUGUAUUCUACCAUGACUGAUGAUGCUCUGGAUAAUGAAGUGAGAGCCAUCAAAUCUAGACUACCUCAUGCUGGAUACCAGAUUGUCAAGGGGUGUCUUGAAGCAGAGGGCCACCAUGUACAAUGGACCAGACUCAAGGCCUCUAUGCAUAGAGUUGAUACAGAGGGCAUCUUGUCAAGAAUGACAAGUAUGGGCUGUGUUGUUCGGCGAAAAUACUGUGUUCAAGGCCCACAUUUUCUGCAGCACAUAGACACCAAUCAUAAACUCAUUAGAUAUAACAUGGUGAUAUUCGGUGGCAUCGAUGGCUAAUCGAGGAAGAUCAUGUACCUCAAUGCUGGGUCCAACAACACAUUGAGUACUGCGCUUCAGUUUUUUCUGGAUGGAGUGAGGAGAUUUGGAUGGCCUUACAAGGUAAGAGGUGACCAGGGUGUUGAAAAUGUCAGCAUUGCCCAGAUGAUGUUCACUGUGAGAGGCACAGGAUAUGGAAGCUUUAUAAGUGGAAAAAGCGUGCACAACCAGAGGUGAAUUAUUCCUUUUGCAAUGAUUAUCAAAUUACCUCAAGAUCCAAGUAGGUACAUGACAUGUCUUGUUAUUGUUGGUGUGCCCUUCAGUGUGAUAUUUACUCCAGUUGAAUUGCUGUUUGGCUAUUCUUUUAGAUAGUUUGAUUGACCCAUGGGGAACUUUUCUAUGUACGAAUUGUAGAAUCGAACGUCUGUGGAGGGACGUUUGGACAGGAGUUACUCACAUUUACUAUGACGUAUUACACAGCCUGGAGGAAGAUGGAUCCCUCGACAUCUCGGAUAAUCUCCAUCUCUUCUGUGCUCAGUACACCUUCCUCCCAAGACUCAAGAAUGAUUUGGCCAAGUUUUCUGCUGGAUGGAACAAUCAUCCUAUCAGGACAGAGGGCAUCCUUACCCCAAACCAGCUGUGGGAGCUUGGGAUGCUGCAGCACCCCAUCCGCGAGCCAGAGACGUUAGAGGAAAAUGUGGAAUCCAAAUUGAGGAUAUUGAUUGGGAGAGCUCAGGGCUCUCUCAUAACUCUGCCAACACAGGUGUUAACGUGCCAGAAAUGGAAUGUCCAUUGAAGACCGAGGACAUUGAAACUCUACGCCUUGCCAUUGAUCCCCUUUCUCAUUCAAAUAGUUUUGGAAGAGACAUUUAUUUGACCACACUCGCACAUGCAUUGUACCUACUUCACCAUCAUUGACAGUCAUGUCUGUGCCAAUCAGAGGA